UGCUCAACAAUGACAAUUCAGAUAACUAUCGAAAUAGUAUUAUACUGUGUUUAUAGUUUUGAAAGAGUCAGACCGCUAUUAACUGGUUAUGCACAAGGCAUUUUAGAUUUGCAAGCGUAGGGGAUGAAUCUUGACAGGCUGUUAAUUUUAUAGAAGCUAAUGUUGACCUUAUUUUAAAUAUAAUAGAGUGUUAUUGUCUGGAGGUGUUUGAUAUUCAGUCAGUAGAACAUGCAAAAUAUUGAAAUGAUUUGCUGCUGUGACUGUGUUUAUGAUUAUCCACGGCAAGAUGGUAUUUUAUUGUCAGUUAAGAUUUUGUGAAUACUUUAAACUGCAGUUAAUCUUUUUUAUGUAUUAUAAAUUAUUUUGUAUUACAAACUUUUUAAAUUU
rnacentral:lncRNA from 1 species